rnacentral:rRNA from 1 species
GACGAACGCUGGCGGCGUGCUUAACACAUGCAAGUCGAACGGCAACGCCCUGCUUGUGUGGGGUUCUCGAGUGGCGAACGGGUGAGUAACACGUGAGUAACCUGACCUUGACUUUGGGAUAACUUCAGGAAACUGGGGCUAAUACCGGAUAGCAUCUCCUGCUGCAUGGUGGGGGUUGGAAAGUUUCGGCGGGUGGGGAUGGACUCGCGGCUUAUCAGCUUGUUGGUUGGGUAGUGGCUUACCAAGGCUUUGACGGAUAGCCGGCCUGAGAGGGUGACCGGCGACAUUGGGCCUGAGAUAGGGAGCAGAGUCGUACGGGAGACAGCAGUGGGGAAUAUUGCACAGUGAGCGGGAGCCUGAUGCAGCAACGCCGCGUGCGGGAUGACGGCCUUCGGGUUGUAAACCGCUUUCGGCUGUGACGAAGCUGGUGUGACGGUAAUGGAUAAAGAAGCACCGGCUAACUACGUG